AGUGAAUAGAUACCCAGGUAGUCCACGCCGUAAACGAUGAUAACUAGCUGUCGGGGCCCAUAGGGUUUCGGUGGCGCAGCUAAACGCAUUAAGUUAUCCGCCUGGGGAGUACGGCCGCAAGGUUAAAACUCAAAGAAAUUGACGGGGGCCUGCACAAGCGGUGGAGCAUGUGGUUUAAAUUCGAAGCAACGCGCAGAACCUUACCAGCGUUUGACAUCCUCAUCGCGGGUUCCAGAGAUGGAUCCCUUCAGUUCGGCUGGAUGAGUGACAGGUGCUGCAUGGCUGUCGUCAGCUCGUGUCGUGAGAUGUUGGGUUAAGUCCCGCAACGAGCGCAACCCUCGUCCUUAGUUGCCAUCAUUUAGUUGGGCACUCUAAGGAAACCGCCGGUGAUAAGCCGGAGAACGGUGGGGAUGACGUCAAGUCCUCAUGGCCCUUACGCGCUGGGCUACACACGUGCUACAAUGGCGUGACAGUGGGCAGCAAACCCCGCGAGGGUUNAGCUAAUCUCCAAAAGCCGUCUCAGUUCGGA
rnacentral:rRNA from 1 species